UCACUGGAGGAUUGAGGUUUGGAGAUGGGAGUGGUUGACAACAUAAGCUGGCUUCAGGCAGGGCUGGAUCCAGAUCCCAACUCUACCCCUUAAUACCUGUGAGAACAAGACUGAGGUACUUACUCACUCUAAGCCUCUUUUCUCAUUAAUAAAAUAGCAAUGAUAAUACUUCCUGGGCUAUUUGAGCAUUAAAUGAGGUCAGUACUUAAAAUUCCUGAUACAGAGUCAACCUCUAAACCUCAGCUACAGCUAUUGCAAUUGUCACCUGGGUCUUACAGAGUUUACCUCUGAAUUUUUUCUUCCAGAAAUGAUGGGCUAGGUAAUUCAGAUUAACACUCUACUGAAGGCAGCUUAAGAAAUGAAGAGAAGAAAGAGAAGAUUUUUUUUUUUUGGUGGUAGAUACUAAGGAUUGAACCCAGGACCUUUGAAUUGAGCUACAUCUCCAACCCUUUUUUUUAUUUUGAGACAGGACUUGGUUUUUCACUAAGUUGAUCAAGCUGAGCUCAAACUUGCAAUGCUUCUCCCUCAGGAUUCCAGUGUGCUGAGAUUACAGCACCCUGCUUGAAUGAUCUUUUUUUUGUUUUUUGUUUUGUACCGGAGAUCGAACUCAGGUCUUUGCGCUUGCGAGGCAGGCAGUGGAACCAAUGAGCUAAAUCCCCAGCCCACUGAAUGAUCUUUUUAAUAGCACCAGAGUUAAAGGAUAGUAAAGAAUUACUAGCUCAAAAUUUGGAAGAGAAGUAAGGAAUUCUGCUUUCCUCUAGGAAUAUCAGCUGAUCUGAAAUAGGUGUCUGAAACUUUAUGCUGUGGGGUUUUUAUAGCUUCUUUGGGUUUAGUGGUGCCCUGGACUUCACGAAUCACCAAGGGAAUGGCUGCAUCCUAAAGUAAAGAUUCCAUGGAAGCAAACCCACCCUUGCAUAGGCUGUGGCCAGGCUUUAAGUUGCCAGGCUUUAAGUUGCCAGGCUUGUCCACAAAAUCUACAAGCAUGAAAUUAGGUUUAUGUGUGCCUGUGAGGCUGAUGGAAGGAAACAAACUCCUCUCUGAGGAUACAGAACCUCUUAUUAUUUCUACAGAAUUUUAAAGAUGACAAUGUCCAAUGCAUAAUCAAAGAGAAUGAGGAAUAUAGGAGACAAGUCAAUUCUUGCUUGAUUUCUGAUAGGAUAAGAAAGUUGUCUGGGUCUUAAUACUCACAGAUCUCAAGGCUGUUUGCUUUCAUAAUGUUUCAUGAUGAAACCAUGGUAGAAAACAAAAAUUUAAUCACUGUCAAUUUAAAUUAGAUAGAAACGGACCUCCGCAAAUCCACAAAGUGUUAAAGUGAGGUCUGCGAGACACUGGGAAUUUUUGAAUCAAAGCAAUAAAUAACAGGAAACUUUAGUCCUUGAUAACCAUCAGUAGAUUUACUUGGAUUGUUAUUUUAUGCUGAUCACACUAGCAUUGCCAUUAUUACCACUGCAGUGCAAGACUCUCCAAUGGGAAACCCCAGGGAAAAUGUGCUUUUAUAUAACUGAGGGAUGAGGACAAUUAUCUAAGAGAAAAAUGGUGAGGCCCCAAGCUCAGGACCCAGUAGUGGAAUUCUCAUCAGAUGAAGCCUUUUCAGUGGAAGGCCACAAGCUGCUGUAUGUAAGAGGGUCUCUCCAAGAAGCAGGGUCAUGCACCCAUCACUUUGGCUUCUUCCUUUUCUUUUUUGGUACUGGGGAUCGAAUUCGGUACCUUGUGCUUUCGAGGCAGGUUGCCGAACCACUGAGCUAAAUCCCCGGCCCACCCAUCACUUUGGAAUGUGUGGAAGCAAAGCUCUUUUUCUCAAAACAAUUUCUGCUUAGGUCUCAGCAAGUUCCCUUAGGUGGAUCUUUCCUGGGGUAGCCACUUUACCUCACCAGCGCAGAGCUGAGGUAGGAGGUCAAGGCGUGGCGAGCUGAGAGGGCAAGUGGGCAUGACCUGUCAGUCACAGAAACCAGGACAUGCGCCAAGCCCUGCUCCUGGUACCAAUCAGAGAAGGGCUACCUUCAGUUCUUCUGGCAUAAUAUCAAGGAGGUUUUUGAUAGGAGAGCCCAGACCUGACGUAAAAAUGGAGGAUACAAAAGACAGCUGCCAUUAACCUCAUGGCCAAUAAGUCCUUUCAGUAUGUCACUCUGCACUCUGCAGAGUGUACUUCUUUUCCUACAUUCAAUUGGCCAACACUCACUCUGCAGAACUUCUUUCUCUACCUUUAAUAAAUGUAAAACCUCACUACCUUUUUAGAGGUUUCUUGCCCAAUUCUUCCUUUAGGACAGCAAGACUUGGAAAGGAUCCCUGGGGAAAGCAUAGCACCCCAGACCCUGGUAACAGACCUGGCUGGGUGCGGGGACUGUGGCAGGGCAGCAGGCACCCAGGUCAUGAGGUUAGGAGACUUCAGCUUCUCAGGUGCUCGCUGCCAGCUUAAUGGAGCACUGAGGGAAACAGGAAGGGGGCAGCCUUCUGCCAGCCACAAAGAUAGAUGCUCCUGCCUCAAGAAUGCCCAGGUCUGCCAUGUUUCACUGCUUCCUUCUGAUGCAAGGGUGCAUCCACUUAUCACAGCCUCUCCUCUCUCCAACACUCUUCUGUUUUGCCCCUUCUCUGCACAUGCUGCCAGCAGCCAUGAGAAAGGAAGACAAAGCAAUGGAAAAUGCUGGUCUCAUACAAGUGGAGCUGAAUACCAGAGGUUACCCGAGGCUGGGAAGCAGGAGUGGCAGAGGUGGAGAGAGGAUGGUUAAUGGUAUCCGGGGUGCAGUUGGAUGGGAAGAAUAAUUUUAAUGUUCUAUAUAGCACAGUAGGAGAACUAUGGCUGAUGAUAAGGAAUUAUAUUUUUCAAAAUGGCUAGCAGGGAGGAUUUCAAAUGUUCCCAACAUGAAGAAGUGAUAAAUGUUCACACUGAUGGAUGGAUGUGCCAAUUACCCUGAUACGAUAAAUACACAUUGUAUAUAAGUACUGAAAUACCACACCACAUCCAUAAAUAUGUACAAUUAUUAUAUGUUACUUUAAAUGUAUAUGCUUAAAAAAGAGGACAAAAACCUCUACUCCUCAAAAAGAAGAGCUGGGUAGAGAGGAUGAGAAACACUCAGGGUAUGGAAGGACACAAGCACUGGUCAUGUUCUCAUGUUAUAUUUCUAUUCAGAAUUCUGAUUCAUCCAUUCAUCUAUCUUUGUGUUUAUAGAAAUGACAAAAAAAAAUCACAAACUUUUUUUAUAGCUUUAACAAAAUUUUUAAAAACAAUAGAGAAUCCUCAAAAGGGCUUUCUUCCAAAGAAUGAUGACACACCAAAAUUAUAACAGUGACAAUCAAAACUUUUGUAACUGUUCUGUUUUGUAGCUCAGCUCUGGGACCUGUGAUUCUCUGUGUCCAAGUCUGCAGUAUCCCAAGCAGCAACUGCGAUGGCCCAGGCUGCAGUCCUUUGUCCUCCUGAUGGCUGAGCAGCGGAGCUCACCCACAGCCUGGGCAGAGCAGGAAUGUGUGUCACGGGGCUCUGGUGACCACCCUAGGACCUGGGAGACACCAGCAGCCCAGGUGGUGCUCAGGAAAUACACUGGGUAAUUGGUGAGAAGUUAAAAAGUGCCCCUGUACCAUGCCGGUGACAGCACCCAUUUGUAAUCCUGCCAUUAAAGGACCUGAGGCUGUCUGAAUCCACAAGUGUGCUUCACGGAUUAGCAGUCAUCUAUUUGCUUUUUCUUGGCAUACAUAGAAAAUAAAAUUAGACUGCUUCCAGCCUAUCUGUACACCCUAUCCCCAGCUCUUGGAUUUAUUCAUAAUAUUUCUCUGGGUUUUAUGCAUUAACAAGAAAGAUUUUCCAAAGUGCUUAUUAGAAAGAACUUAUUUCACUUAAAUGCCCUUAAAAAGUAUUAACAGAUCACCGCAGUAUUUAUAACAACCUCUUUGUCUUAAAUGAACUAGUUGACCCCUUCCCUUUAAAGAAAAUCCUAGGAAAAGAUUGCCCACCCAUUAGGACUGGGGUCAGAAACUGCAAAGUUACAGAGGUUUGUCUGUUUAAAAUCCAACAUGACUACUUGCUUUUCUAUGAGUGGAGGAAAAGCCACAUGUUGCCUACCCUGGGUUUAUUAAUUCUCUAUAAAUUCCUUCUGCCCAGCUUGGGUGUAGAAGUGAGCUCAUUUAUUUACUUGCAUAGCAACAAUAUAAUGAAAACUGACUCUGGCCUAAAAAAUACGCCCUCCCGAGCCACCUCCAGGGCUAACCCUUCGCAGUGCUUCUCUGUGCUCAUGGAGUGUUCUUUUAACCUGUCUAGUUUUGAGAGGUGAUUUACUUUCUUUCAAAGACAUUUUGAUGCCCGAUUUUAUGCUAGCAUUAAGCCUUUUCGAGCCACGUCGAGCGAGAUCAUAGCCAGCCUCUUUCCCUAGAUGAAGAAAAAGUCACAAGUGAAAGCUCAGAAGGGGGACAGGGCUCUUGAGUCACCUUCCUUUGACACAGCAUUGUGCAGGCAACCGGUCCGUGCAAACAGUGACCUGAUUGUGGAGCCCCUUGUGUGAUCCCCACUGCUUUCAGGAGGCUCUUUGUGUAGCGAGUGCUGAAGCAAUAUUUAGUUAUGGAGUGACCAAGACCCAAAGAGCAGCAAGAGGCACUGAAUGUGAAAGAACGUGAUGGGAAAUGACAUCUGGGUCCCUCAAGGGGCUGAAGUUUUUCUCAGGAAGGGCAGAGCUGAAUUCAGCCCCUGACGGCUGGGUACAGAAAAGCCAUUUUUUAUAUUCCAGGGGACUGCAAUGUUCCUUUUGAUGAAAACGAGAAAAGCAUAAGCGUUUGGGGUCUUUUGAUGUCCAAGUAAAUUCAAUGUGCACUAAAUCUAGAUUCUGAAAUGGAUUUGAAGAAGAUGCCCUACAGAUCACAGCACUGUGGAAAAGAGCUAAGAGACGAGAAUCUGGGGACCCAAAGGCUGAUUGGUAUGGUUUCCUCCCAAACAGAAGAUUUCUCACAGCUUAGUUGGGAGAAAAGAUGCAGUGGCUGACAGGAGACAGUGCCAGCUCUGAAGGCGGCUGUCGUGCCUGGAGACAGCAGUCCCACAAAGGGCCUCUGUCCGAGCCAGGAGAUUAGACAGGGAAAUGGCAGAAGCACUGAGCUCCAGGGUAAGUGCUUUCUUAGCCCUUGACAGCAGAGCAGGGAAGAGUCCUUCCUGAGGUGCUCUCUGCAAGUUUUCUGGGUACAGGACCAGACUAGGAAAGAAUCAGUAGAAUAUCUGGCUAGCAAAGCCUGUUAGGGAGAAUCCAGCUUCCCUUUGCCAUUUCACAGCAGAGAGACCUAAAGUGCAAGGAGGUUACAAAGCACUGGGAGGCUGCUCAGCCUGUUAGCAGGAGAGCUGAGCAGGGACUCAGGUUAGCUGGCCCCGCUGCCGAGGAUCCUUCCUCUGUGUCCUGUCACCUACACUACCAUCACACGUUAGACAUUUACUAGAAGAAACUCACUACUUUUUAGAUGUUACAAGUAAAUACUUCCAAAGAAAAGUUACUUCCCUACAUGAGAAGCACAACUUGAAAGCUGGGCAUCUUAUGUUUUGGGGGUCACUGCUCCACCAGCCAAUCCAUUCUGGGGGAUUGAACUACAUCUGAUUUAAUGAAGUCAUCCAUUUGGAGCAAUUUGAAGGCAUUUGAAAGAUGGUAUUUCCACACAGCAGAGGAAGCUAACGUAGCAAUGUUCUCAGUGGUACCCCAGUCUCCACACUCCCCAGAUGACCUACUCAGGACUUCUGGACCAGCCUGGCCUGAAGCUGACUCCCCAGAGGUGCAUGGCCAGAAGUCCCGUAUUUCUUAACUCCAACUCCUUCAGCAUUUUGGCUACUCCCUGGAUCUCAGGUGGGCACCUUCUGCAGUGACUCAUUCUUCUGGCCAACGGGAUGCUUUUAAGAGGCCCAGACUCUGGGGAGCUGGAUUGCGCAUGUCUCAGUGAGCCCUCUUAGGGCUUGGCAGCAUCAGCCAUGAGCUAGGGUGUAGAAAUCACUAGUGUUGGGGUUAGACAGGUGUGGGCUCCAGUACCAAUGUGGCUCUAGCUAGAGGCAGAAGGUUAACUUCAGCAGGUUAACUUGCUUCUCAGAUGCUUCCUCUGUACCUUGUGAGGGUCAAAUGAGAUCAUGCACAUAAUAUCCCCAGCAUGGAGAAAAGGCUGGGAGGCAUUUUAAGGUCACCCCUCUACUCUAGAUCUAAAGUGAUCUUGCAGAAUGAAGUGGAAACAAUGAAUAACUUAGCACUGCCAAAGGUCACACAGUCAAUUGCCAGUAAAAUUGUGAACAAAAGCUAUUCUAAGAAAUGGCUGGUUUAAUCAUGCCACACUUAAGAAAACCAAAUAUUAUGCAGGUGCUGUGGCACAUGCCUAUAAUCCUCAGAGCAGAGGCUGAAGCAGGAGGGUCACAAGUUCAAGGCCAGCCUGGUUAGCCCCUGUGUCAAAUAAAAAAUAAAAGGCUACUGUGGUAGCUCAGUGGUAAAGUGCCCCUUGGUUAGAUCCCCAGUACUGAGAAAGGAAGAAAGUCAAAUAUAAAAAUUAUUCCUAUAAAUCAAAUGUAAUUAGGGCAUUGCUAAAGGCUUCUUUGUGUCACAAAAGGAGUGUGGCGUGGCGUCUCUCUCAAGAGUGGACGCCUUGGGUCUCCCCAAAUGUUGAGCCUCAUCUGACUUUUAAAUUAAAGCAGACCCACUGUUCUGUGCCUGUCACACCUGUACCUCUCACACAGGCUCAGACACCUCUCCAGGCGCUAUCUUGACAGCUAGGUUUAGAGGUCAGCUCUUUGGAACCGAGUGCUUCUGAUUUUUUGACAUUCUUUGUUCUGAAUUUUGUGCAAUCUGUUUUCAAAGAUGCAUUCAACCAAUAUUUUAUCUCAAUGUUAUUACUGAGUAAAAUAAGCAAGUUUCUUCUUUUCUCUCCCUCACAAAGAGAGCGCUACCCACUUAGCUGUACUUCACACUAGCCUGAGCCUCCCACCUGCUACUCCCUCUGGUAAGCACAGUCACUCAGCAUGAAGUCAUGGAGAAAGGAAGAUUACUGCAGGUUGCCUUGGUGUAGGUUUGUCAGAAGUUGCUAACGCACUCUUUGAAAGAUGCGUUAUCAGUGAGUUUUAUGACAAAGUGCAACUGAGUUUGAAGGCCGUGGCACUGACCAAACAUAAAGGACCUUUGUUCAUUCUGGGAGGUGUGACCACUUGCUCAAUCCACUGGCACGGUGACUCCUCUGGGGAGAGAGCUUUUCAUUUGCAGGGUGAGCUCAGUAAGUCCUGCCCUUCGGUGCACAGGGACCUCUGGCUCUGUGUAAGAUUUCAAAUGCAUCUUGACUCUCAAGGGAGGAAAUUUUAAAUGAAAUUUCAGUUUUCUUCAUAAGCCCCACAAAGCACAUAGUGAGGAAAACCCAAUUUAUUUAAAUUAGGUUUAUCUUUAUAUAGAAAUGCACGAUCCUGAAAUAUAUUUGUACUUUAUUGAAUUUAUAUGUGGAUAAACUGAAGGUGGCUUUUGCCUUGGAAGUAUGUUUUGAGCUGUGUGUGUGUGUGUGUGUGUGUGUGUGUGUGUGUGUGUGUACAGUACAGGCAGGGAACAAAAGAAAGUGAGAUGAAGUCAGAGUUUAUCUUCUCUGGGAGCUUUCAUUUCCUCUAAAUCUAUUUUUUACUUGUGAGUAGAAAAAUCACGCUGCUUAAUAUAUAUAGCAGUUAGUUGGCCGGUAUCUGCAUGUUGCUCUCGGCAACCAGAUUUCACAAUGCCUCAAAUUCUAAUCAGGGAAGUCCUGGUUCCUUAGCCAGUGGGUAUGGGUGUCUCUGUUUGUGUAUGUGUGAGUGGUGUGCGCAUCUGUGUAUAAUUUGGGAUGACUCAGUGUCUAAGAAGGUACAGACAUUGUAACUAAGGUAUUCUUGGUUCUUAUAUUACCUUUCAGGAAUGAGUCCAGAAGAUCUGGCUAAAACCUUUGAAUCAUUUCCUGCCAACACGCAGCUGAAUACUAUACUGCAAGGCAGGAAAUGCUCCUUAAAGAUGACAUCAUGGGUCUUGGUUACGCUUAACGUACUUGAGUUUUCUGACUGCUACCUUGAGCAGUACCUGCCCAGCCUCAACCAGCACACACAUCAUGAGGGCAGGCCUCUGAAUCUCUCAUGCGGCAGGAGCUCCCUCGAGGCCAAUGAAGUGUACAACAUAUUUUAGGACCAGAGAGGAGGUAGAAACUUCUGGGCUGCAAAGAGAAAGCUCUGGGCUGGGGGUGGAGCUCAGUGGUAGACUGCUUGCUUAGCAUGCUGGAGGUGCUGGAUUCCACCCCUGUGCCACAAGAAUGAAAAUACAGAGAGAAAGCUUCACAGAGGUCAGGAAUGCUACAAUGGGUUUUAAAGGAUGAGUAGGAGCUCAAGGCAGAUUAGAGGGGAUAAAACAUUCUAGGUCACCCAUAGCAUGUGAAAAGGAAACUCUGAGGCUCAGCAGAAGAAUCUAGAUUUUCUCUCUAGGUGACUAUAAAAGAGGUAACUUAAUCUUGCAGCUAUUUGGGGCAAAAUGUACCGAGAGUAAGGCCCUCGGACCAGCCCAGCCUCUCAUCACUCAGACUUCGCUUCAGAAAAAAACUGCAGUGAAUAAAACUUCAGAAGCCCACAGUCUGCAGCAACACUGAGGGAAUUUUGAACUACGGAAAGUCCCGAAUCACAAUCAGAUUGGAACACUUCCAGUCGCCUUCAUGGUCCUCCUCUUACAGUAUUUAUCAGUGUAAUCUUGGGCCACCUCCCACUGAACCACGAAAGGAGCCCGAUUAAAUGCAGAUUCCUGGGUUCUCACUCAGACCUGCUGCUUGAGAAUGGAUCUGAGGGAAGGGCCCGGGGGUCUGUACUGAACUCCUCUACCUCUCUGAGUGACUCUGUGUUCAUUAAAAUUCUAAACCUACACUUCAGUGAUUCAGAACAAGGUUCCCCGGCCUCCUCAUUUUCUUGUGGAAUAGCUUUUGAGGACAAUAGCUUAAACCACAAGGAACAUCUAGUUUCAGGUUUACCCCCAUUUUACAGAUGAGAAAUUAGAACAGAAAAUGAGCAAGUGAGAAAGGAAAAAUAAUUGAAAGAGAAAAGAAGCAAAUUGCUUUACUUGCCAACUCAAUAAAACUGCUACAAGUAAACUCAAAAACAAAGCAAAACAAAACAAAAACAAUAUCAUGCAUAUCACUGCCUGAGAUAUCGCCUGGGGCCUUGGCCUCUGGCAGUGGCACCGUCCCUAUGCAAGGAAGAUGGCAGGAGUUUUCAAAGCAGUAACUGUUACCUGGGAGGUUAAAAUCACCUCUUGCAGCUAAAUCAUUUCUACUAGGAAAGAAAGAAAAAAA